rnacentral:rRNA from 1 species
CUACGUGCCAGCAGCCGCGGUAAUACGUAGGUGGCAAGCGUUGUCCGGAUUUAUUGGGCGUAAAGCGAGCGCAGGCGGUUCCUUAAGUCUGAUGUGAAAGCCCCCGGCUCAACCGGGGAGGGUCAUUGGAAACUGGGGAACUUGAGUGCAGAAGAGGAGAGUGGAAUUCCAUGUGUAGCGGUGAAAUGSGUAGAUAUAUGGAGGAACACCAGUGGCGAAGGCGACUCUCUGGUCUGUAACUGACGCUGAGGCUCGAAAGCGUGGGUAGCAAACAGGAUUAGAUACCCUGGUAGUCCACGCCGUAAACGAUGAGUGCUAGGUGUUAGGCCCUUUCCGGGGUUUAGUGCCGUAGCUAACGCAUUAAGCACUCCGCCUGGGGAGUACGACCGCAAGGUUGAAACUCAAAGGAAUUGACGGGGGCCCGCACAAGCGGUGGAGCAUGUGGUUUAAUUCGAAGCAACGCGAAGAACCUUACCAGGUCUU